UGUGUGCUCAGCAGCCUUGAGCUGGGCUGGCUCAUGGCCACUCUGGCUUUGUUGUUCUGUUUUUCCUGGCUUUGCUGCAGUUCUGUUCAGUCACCCCAGAAAGUAAAGCAUGGCCUUCAGGGUCAGUUGCUCUGGGGACAGAAUUUAGAUGCAUCACAACUGGCUGUCCUAGAUGCCUUCACAGCCCUUCAUGCCGAGGAUCAAAGUCACAGNAUGCUGGCUUUAGAGCAUCCUCAGUGUGAGUCCUGCCUGUCNUUGUGAUACUCAACUCCACAUCACUGUCACAAAGUCGCUGAGAUCAAGGACAGAGGAGGCAAAGGAGGCAGAGGAGACCCCACCCCAAAGAAACAACAAGAUCUUCUAGAAGGACAUCCAUGACCGACCUGGUGACUGCUGUCCAGGCCAUGUGCCCUCCACNAGCUCCCCUCUCCUCUAUUUUCUUGGGUGUUUGUCACUCUUCAUACAACCCUGCUUCUGCCUAGCUGNUCUCUAACCUUCCCAACACUNACCACUGGAGAUUCUUCUCUAGAGAGGUCUACAAGGGACAUAGGAACCCACGAUUGCCCACUUGAAGGAUGUUGAACCAGGAUUGAGGUCCCCCUACACCCCAAUUCCAUCCCCACUACCCCAGCUCUUUACUCUGCUUUCCUUUCCUUGCUGAAACACAAGUGAAUGCUUCCCAGGUGGCCUCCACAUAUGGAGGCUGCUGAUAUUGGAGUUGUAGAACUGAAUCCACCAGCCACAGUGGCACCCAUGCUCACCAACCUUGAAACUCAUUCUCAACUUUCCAUCAGCAAUCCCUGGGACAAAUGAUGGCAAAUGGAAGACAUGGGUCAGCUCUACCCUAAUGACUAUGCCAAAUACACCUUAGCCAGCCUACAUGUCUCUCACCAGCUUGUCUCUGCCUCCAAAUCAGUCUCUUUACCCAUGUUAAUAUUCUUCAACAGGAAAAUCAAUCUCAGAAGGAACUCCAGGCCACCCUCUCCCGGCUACAGUACUUCCUUCCCUUAACCCCUCACCACAACUCCUCCCAGUGCUUUUUCUGUGCUUCCUUUUCCUAAAUGCUGUUGGCAGCUGUUCUGACUUACAUUUUCCUUCAUGAACCCCCAUGGACCCUUACCCACACAGAAAGCACAAGACAUUCCUCUCUUUGAUAUACCCCUCCCCUUUGCCUUGUAGGACCCUCCUCAAGACGUCAUCCUACACNUUACUGUUACAUCGCCAUCACCAAACCUAUAUGUGCUAACCCCCCUGCUCUUUUCUGGUGCAAAGACACUAUGGGUUCCUGCAUUGACCCCCCCUUUUCAAGGUUUCUGCACCUCCAUAAUGAUUGUUCUCCAGAUUUAUCUCUAUGAACCUCAAGAACUCACCUUAUAGCUGGGAGGAGACUGAAAGACAAGAGAGAUCUUCAUCCCUCUGCUCAUUGAACUCGCUGGCUCACUGGGCACCACAGGGACUGCUGGAACAGCCCUUACCCAGACACACCAUCUGGACAGUGACUUCCAGGACCAGGCAAUGACUUCCACUGCAGACAGCUUUGUGUCUCUUCAACACCAAACAGCCUCCUUAGCAGGAGUUGUUCUCCAAAACCAGAGGGCCCCGAACUUACUGACUGCUGAACAGGGAGGGACUUGUGUUUUGCUGGGGGAGCANUGUUGCAGAUUCUAUGUCAAUGAAUCCAGGCUGGUAGAACAGGAUAUAUAAAUGUUCAAAGAUCUCCAGCGAGAUCUUUGGACACUCGUGCUCCCAAUACCCCUACCCUAUGGUACUCAAACCCCUUGGUAGCUUGGCUUCUCCUCUUGGAGAAGUCACUGGAGCCUUGCUUCUCCUGGCACCCCGACUUAUCCGAUUUCUAAAACAGCAAAUGAGUAGCAUUGCAAAGAUCACUACUCUCCAGGUCUUGCUUCAAUAUCAAACUGUUGCCAACAUAGGAGACAGUUACCCCAAUGAAACCUCUCCUUCAUAAAACAAAUAGGAGGAGGUGUGGGGCAAGUGGCCCAUGCCAUCAGACAGAAGACCUGGUAAGAUUGAGUGACUCAGACCCCAGGGAAUCCCAGAGACUUGAGAGCUGCAGGAGUUGAGCUGUUCCCUACCCAUUUCUGUACCUGCUCUGGAACAAGCAACCAUGACACCCCACUGAGAGGAGCAUGCGCAGUCAGUCACAUAGAAAAAACACCUGGAGUCUUCCCCCAUGCAAAGAAAUCACCACUAACACCCCAAACGGAGCCAAUAGGAAACAACCAACCCUAAAUCCCACCCCACUCCUCAAUGUUUAUAAAGUCCCUGUCCACAUGGAAUA